UAACAAUCUCGGUCAACUUAUCUCCAAAAACAAACGUGCGGUAUAUAUAUUUCUUCUUCUAUUCAUUACUUACAAUUUGCAAGAUCUGCAGAUAGGUGAGCAAAAAGAUAAGGUUUGGUAAGACAUUAAGCUAUGCAAAGCUGAAGAAUACUGAUUUGGAAAUUCUUGUGAAUCUUGUUGGUGACAAGGAAAGAUAUUUAAAAUCUCACAUGGUGCUAAAAUCUUGAGAUCUUAGAGAAUUUUCUUUUCUGUACACCCUUCAUUCAAAGUUGAAUCUCUCUAUCUCACCAUGACUCCAGAUUGAGUAAGAUUGAUGGUGUUGGAAUUUUAUCAUUCAUAUCUAGAUCGGGUUAUUCUUGACAUCAUUUGAGAGGUAAAAAUCUACCUAAGUUCCUUUUUCUUUUUCAAAUCAAUCUCUUUGAAUCAUAGAUUUAGGUAUGAAUUUAGAAAAAGAAAAAAA